rnacentral:lncRNA from 1 species
UGCCACGUUGCUAGCUAUCUAACGGAUAUACCCAGUAUUCUGGGGUAUUCCUUCUAGGUGGGGAAUUCUAGAGAGUUCUUAUUGCAAUGGUGAAGUUGGCUGGGCCAUGGGCUGGGCUGUAGUUAGGGUAGAGACCGGUCUCAUCAACCUCUCCCCUCUUAGCAAGAAGCCUGUCCUCAGGGCUGGAAGGAAGGAAAACGUGAGAGAAUGGAUUGGGCGUCUUCCCAAGCGGCGUCACUAGCUGGGUAUCCUUUCCAUUUAAUCAGCCAUUUGGUG